rnacentral:rRNA from 1 species
ACACAUGCAAGUCGAGCGGUAGCACAGGGGAGCUUGCUCCCUGGGUGACGAGCGGCGGACGGGUGAGUAAUGUCUGGGAAACUGCCUGAUGGAGGGGGAUAACUACUGGAAACGGUAGCUAAUACCGCAUAACGUCGCAAGACCAAAGAGGGGGACCUUCGGGCCUCUUGCCAUCAGAUGUGCCCAGAUGGGAUUAGCUAGUAGGUGGGGUAAUGGCUCACCUAGGCGACGAUCCCUAGCUGGUCUGAGAGGAUGACCAGCCACACUGGAACUGAGACACGGUCCAGACUCCUACGGGAGGCAGCAGUGGGGAAUAUUGCACAAUGGGCGCAAGCCUGAUGCAGCCAUGCCGCGUGUGUGAAGAAGGCCUUCGGGUUGUAAAGCACUUUCAGCGAGGAGGAAGGUGGUGAGCUUAAUACGCUCAUCAAUUGACGUUACUCGC